GCAGAGACCAGUGGACCCAGUAAACCCCUGAAAAGCUGGUUCAAGAGCAACCGUGAGCCGAGGGUCCAGCUUGAGGAAAGGGAAAUGGGCACUGUUCUUGGCUCUGCCUUCAGUAUGGUCUCUAGAUGCCAAAGACCAGCUGGCCCUCCUAUGUAUUGUAGCCCCACUGAGACCCAGGGGUUCCACCACGGCUCCACUGGGCUGUGGUUCAAGACGAUGUUGCAGAGACAAAGAGAGUUGGCUGGGGGCUGUGGUUACCCCAGGAAGGACACUGGAGAGGGAGUGUUACUUGAGGAGGGCCAGGGUGUUGGGCCUACUACACUCAGAGCUUUCAGGCCUUAACCUGAAGUGCCCUGC
rnacentral:lncRNA from 1 species